ACUGCGUCUGGGAACAAGGGCAGUGAGCAAUAUGGCAUUGCAACAGGAGAUAAUUUAUCAGAUAGCCCACCAAUGCAAGAUGAACAAAUGGAAUUUAUAGUUGCUUCAGUCAAGGACGAAUAUGAAGAAGAUAUUUUAGACUAGCAAAUGUUGCAAAGGAAAUAAUGUUUUACUUUUAGCUGAGCAAACAAUCAAAACUAUAUACAAUCUGGAUUGUCUGGCAUAUUCACAGUUGUUUUUAUUUUUAGAAAUAUAAUGCACCGGCCGUGUGUUUAAAAAAUCGUGCGUACAGUAAAUUAACUUCCGUAUGUGAUAAAGAUAUUUUAAAACACUGAUUAGUGAUUAUUAAAUGUGAUCAUGAGAUUUUCAAACUCUAGAAGUAUCUCAUGACACAGGUGUUUUGUUUAUGUUUAAUAUGUUUGUUUGUUUAUGUUUAAUAAAUUGUCACACACGAUUAUUUACAGAAAGUAUCAAAUAAUGUAAGUUAGAUAAUAACAAGAAAAGAUAAUGUUAUCAAUCAAAAUAAUAAAUAUUUACUUAAAAGCCUAUGUGAGAGGAGGUUUGGUAGAAAACCGAUUAGGCUUAUUAAAUUAUCAAACCCCCUCUCGUUUGAAAAUUAAUUCGAAAGAAAACUUUCCUCGAAAAAAAUAAUUUGGAAAACGUGAAGGAUUAUUUUUGAGCGGCUUGUCUUUCAAAGGCCAUAUAUAUCGCUAGAAUAGAAAUCAAUUUUCCAUCCAUAUAUACAACUUUUCACGCUGAUUCAAACAGUGGUAUUGUUGUCCUUGUUUGGCCCAUAAAACCAGAGAUAAAGCCUAGCAAACAGUCGAUCCUGAGAGUACAAGAUUAAUUAAUUUUCCCGCAAAAAUGAAUAAAUUUCGAGCACGUGCAAAGAAUUUUUACUAGGUGAUUAAUAAGGAAACGUGUUGAUGCGAACAAACUAACAAACUCACAGGCAGAAUAUAAUGCGGUGCCCAAGAAGGACAUACGGUUCAAACAGCCAAUGAAAGUCAUUGUUUUAACAAGUCCCUGCCGUUAACCAAUUAACACUGUGAUCCAGAUUCUAGAUCACUUCACACUAUUAAGCAUCGUGAUUGGUGCGGUUCGAUCUGAGAAACCAUAGAACUGAUAGAAGUGUUCCAAAGGUUCUUCCCGCUCGCCUCCCGCCCAGCUUGAAUCCUUGUGUAUCCCUCAUUAUCCCCCUACGAGCGUGGAAGAACCUCUGGCACCCAGGGUAUUGUCUAGACUGUUAUAGAAAAAAUUAAUGGUACUUGGAAUUUAAUAGAGAAUUGACGUAGAUUUGUUCUAGGAGUUACAAUGUGAAAUUCAUUUGCUCUUCUAGUAUUAUAAUUAUGUAUUUGGUUAUUUAAUAGGAAAAUAUUUUUUAAAUGUUCUGGUACAAGAUUUUUUUAUACAAGAACAUGAAUUGACAUGUCAGUGUAAUUUACAUAUGUCAUUAAAUUUCAAUAAUCGAAAAUUUUUAAAGAUCAUGCUUGUAUGAGAAUCAAAUGUACUAUAUUCAUAAUUCUAACAAUACGUUUCUAAAGAACUACCAAACGAAACAGGUUGGAUGCAUACGUAGAUGCCCAAACAAUAUUGCAUUGAGUAAUAUAAAGUACUGUAAACAAUGAUUGUUUAAAAAAACAACUAGAUUUACGUAUUAUUCCUACUGAUUUUGAAAUCUUCAUUGACACAUGACUAAUAUGAGAUUUCCAAGAAAGUUUGUCAUCUAAAAUAAUUCCUAAGAAAACGAUUUUUUUCACUUGAUCAAUUUCUCUAUCAUUCAAUAGUAGUUUCACAUCUAAUUCCAAUAAUUUUGGUUUAGGUUUAAAAAUCAUAAAUUUUGUUUUAUCCAAGUUUAAAUGAUGGUGUGUUGUUUCUUUUUCUCUGAUAAUAUCUAGCUUAUUUUGGCUCAAUAUAUUUUUAUUUUUUGGGGGGGGGGGUGUUAGAUACGGUUUAAAAUGUCUUUUGUUUACAUUGCUAUUUAUAGUAGUUUGCGUAACAUAAACAUGUGCCAUGGGUUAGGUUAAAGUGCGGAAGCGGAACGGAUGGGAUUAAAAUACGGAACGGAUGGGGUUAAAAUGUGGGACGGAUAUAUGGUUAAAAUGCAGAACGGAACGGAUAUUGGUUUUAAGUUUUAACCUCAUAUUCGUUCCGUUCCGCCUUUAACCCCUUUCGUUCCGCUUCCUCAUUUUAACUGGCCUAACCCCAUGUGCCAUGUAAUUUAAAAAGAAAAACGGGUGUAAAUGUGGAGUAAUAAUUGCUGCACCUUGCAGCAAAAACUGAUUUCUAUGCAUGUUAAGUAUUUUCAAUUAACAUGCGUAGAAAUCAGAUUUUGUUGCAAGUUGCAGCAAUUUUGUUGCUCGUAUUACUCGAGCUUUAAAGCUUGUUUUCCACUAGGCGGAAUUUUCCACGUGGAGCGGAAUUUCCCUUUGUCCUUUCACAACUACAUUGUUUUCAACUAAGCCACCUUAAAUCAUGCAAAACAUUUUUAGCGAACGUUAAUGGAAAACGGCCUUAAGAGUGCAGUUAGUUAGUUAAAAAAAUUCAGAUCAAUCAUAGGGUACCCCUGCAGAAAUUUCAAACUCAAAAUCCUUUACCCCUGAAGAAUUCCAAGCUCAAAACACCCUACCCCUGAAGAAUUCCAAGCUCAAAACACCCUACCCCUGAAGAAUUCCAAGCUCAAAACACUGUACCCCUUAAUAAUUCCAAACUCAAAACACUGUACCCCUGAAGAAUUCCAAACUCAAAACACUGUACCCCUGAAGAAUUCCAAGCUCAAAACACUGUACCCCUGAAGAAUUCCAAGCUCAAAACACUGUACCCCUGAAGAAUUCCAAGCUCAAAACACUGUACCCCUGAAGAAUUCCAAACUCAAAACACUGUACCCCUGAAGAAUUCCAAGCUCAAAACACUGUACCCCUGAAGAAUUCCAAGCUCAAAACACCCUACCCCUGAAGAAUUCCAAACUCAAAAUCAUUUACCCCUGAAGAAUUCCAAGCUAAAAACACUGUACCCCUGAAGAAUUCCAAACUCAAAACACUGUACCCCUGAAGAAUUCCAAGCUCAAAACAAUCUACCCCUGAAGAAUUCCAAACUCAAAACACCCUACCCCUGAAGAAUUCCAAGCUCAAAACACUGUACCCCUGAAGAAUUCCAAACUCGAAACACUGUACCCCUGAAGAAUUCCAAGCUCAAAACACUUUACCCCUGAAGAAUUCCAAACUCAAAAUCCUUUACCCCUGAAGAAUUCCAAGCUCAAAACACUGUACCCCUGAAGAAUUCCAAGCUCAAAAUCCUUUACCCCUGAAGAAUUCCAAGCUCAAAACACUCUACCCCUGAAGAAUUCCAGGUAUCCUCGACAGGCGGGGUACGGAUAUUAAAUGGAAUAGCCCAAUACUAUUUUAAUAUGGAACCAAAUGUCUUGUUUUGACUUGAAUCUUGUAUGCGUUUACCUCGUGAUGUUUUUCGGAAUAUGUUUUGUCGUAUAUCUGCAGGCAUUAAAGUAGUAAGAGGUGCACACUUGUGUCGCUGUGAAUCGAAAGUAUCAAAAACGCAUCAUUCAUCAACGAUUAUUAUAGUUCAAGCGAACAGAAUGUCCAAAAUCGUAGGUUCAACCCGUGAACCCGGGGUAUAGAAAUUUAGAUGCAAAUGCACGUCGUAGCUAUAGACAGAUAGGAAUGAAAAGAAGUCCAAACUUUGCAGUAUUUUGGAAAAAACAGAUAGAACGGGGCAUAAAGCUAAGUGCUUUGUCCAACGACUUUGCAUAAAUUAUAACAGGUGUGAACAAUAUAUCUGAAGUUCUUUCAAGCUAGUGUACAGUAUAGUAGCCUAGGAAUGUUUAUCAAGUUUGGAAUGCUUGUAUACUUUAGUGCGAACUUUAGUGUUGCAAGAAUGUUUGAGAGUUGAGGCCUUGAGGGCAUUUAUAUUAUUAAACUUACUGUUACAAUAUGACGACAUCAAAAUAUC